CAGCAUGAUGGAGCAGCGCUGUCACAUUCCAGUAGAACCUUGCCUUUGUGGGACACUUCUGGAGCCUCAUCAUCGAUUUCCAGGAACAUAGCAAAGCUCAGGACUUGAAAUGCGGAAGCAAAAGGAAGCUCGGAGCCCUCUCUCUGGUGGGAACCAGUUCAGCAAACAGGAUUUUCCAGCUGAACUCUGCGGGCUCUUUGAACCCCUGUGAUUCUUGCUGUCUCCUGAGGGAGGAUGAGGAGCACCUUGUUCUGGGGAAGUGUUACCCUUUGUUCUCCUGUCCUAAAACGGUGGGUUAGAUCAGCCAAACCCUCUGCUCCAGAGCAAUCACGUCCCAGUCCUCUUCCCCAGUCCAAGCCCUCGAUCCUGGCCUGGUGUCACAUCCCGCUGCAGCCAAGGCAAAGGAAUACUGUGCCAGGAUCAGUCCAGGUCCAAGUGGCGACCGUGACAAAACCCGCUCCCGGGUGGUGCCCUCAGCGUCUGUGGGGGCGAAGCUUUGUGGUUUUGUGUGGGUUUAAGGUAUUAAUGCAGUUCCUGUGG